rnacentral:rRNA from 1 species
CCUACGGGUGGCAGCAGUGAGGAAUAUUGGUCAAUGGGCGAGAGCCUGAACCAGCCAAGUCGCGUGAAGGAUGAAGGAUCUAUGGUUUGUAAACUUCUUUUAUAUGGGAAUAAAGUGAGGAACGUGUUCCUUUUUGUAUGUACCAUAUGAAUAAGCAUCGGCUAACUCCGUGCCAGCAGCCGCGGUAAUACAGAGGAUGCGAGCGUUAUCCGGAUUUAUUGGGUUUAAAGGGUGCGCAGGCGGCGAGUUAAGUCAGCGGUAAAAUUUCGGGGCUCAACCCCGACAAGCCGUUGAAACUGGCUUGCUAGAGUGGGCGAGAAGUAUGCGGAAUGCGUGGUGUAGCGGUGAAAUGCAUAGAUAUCACGCAGAACUCCGAUUGCGAAGGCAGCAUACCGGCGCCCAACUGACGCUCAGGCACGAAAGCGUGGGUAUCGAACAGGAUUAGAUACCCCUGUAGUC